UGAGGAAUAUUGGUCAAUGGGCGAGAGCCUGAACCAGCCAAGUCGCGUGAGGGAAGACGGUCCUACGGAUUGUAAACCUCUUUUGUCGGGGAGCAAUAAGGCGUACGCGUACGCAGAUGCGAGUACCCGAAGAAAAAGCAUCGGCUAACUCCGUGCC
rnacentral:rRNA from 1 species